AGCGAACGCUGGCGGCAGGCCUAACACAUGCAAGUCGAGCGCCCAGCAAUGGGAGCGGCAGACGGGAUAGUAACACGUGGGAACGUACCUUUCAGUUCGGAACAACCCAGGGAAACUUGGGCUAAUACCGAAUACGUCCGUAAGGAGAAAGAUUUAUCGCUGAAAGAUCGGCCCGCGUCUGAUUAGCUAGUUGGUGAGGUAAUGGCUCACCAAGGCGACGAUCAGUAGCNGGUCUGAGAGGAUGAUCAGCAUCACUGGGACUGAGACACGGCCCAGACUCCUACGGGAGGCAGCAGUGGGGAAUAUUGGACAAUGGGCGCAAGCCUGAUCCAGCCAUGCCGCGUGGAUGAUGAAGGCCUUAGGGUUGUAAAGUCCUUUCGGCGGGGAAGAUAAUGACGGUACCCGCAGAAGAA
rnacentral:rRNA from 1 species